rnacentral:rRNA from 1 species
CUUGUACACACCGCCCGUCACACCAUGGGAGCGGGUUCUGCCAGAAGUAGUUAGCCUAACCGCAAGGAGGGCGAUUACCACGGCAGGGUUCGUGACGUGGGGUG